AUUUCCUGGAAGAGGGGUAGCCAGAGGCAAGAGGAGAUGGUUCUCUCAGAUUUUAUUUUGGAGGAAACUGAUGGCUUCAUAUCAGCUACCCAAGAGCAGCUACAGAAGCCCAAGUCAGGCUCCCAUCAGGAAGAAGUGUCAUCUGAUAGGCUAACUGAGAAGGAAUGAAAGACUCUGUGACAUUUGUGUCUGUGAACCCUCCACUCUGCUACAUAAAGAGAUGACAGGGUCAGACUUGGUGACACACCUCUUCAAUCCCAGUACUCAGGAGGCAGAGGCAUAUGGAUCUCUGUGAAAUCGAAGCAAGCCUGGUCAAGUGAGUUCU